rnacentral:rRNA from 1 species
GGGAAUUUUCCGCAAUGGGCGAAAGCCUGACGGAGCAAUGCCGCGUGGAGGUGGAAGGCCUACGGGUCGUCAACUUCUUUUCUCGGAGAAGAAACAAUGUCGGUAUCUGAGGAAUAAGCAUCGGCUAACUCUGUGCCAG